UGGAAGGGAAGAAAAGCAAUGUAGAGAAAAUGGAGAAGCUAUUUCAUAAGGCUAUUUGGGCCUGCAUUGUGUCCUUUCUAGUGUUGCUUGGAUCAUGGUCUCUUACGAUGGAUUUAAGGAGCACAUACUUCCAUACUCCUCUUCAAGGAAUUGCAGUGCAUAGGAGGGGAAUGGAGUUCUCGGCCGGUCGAGUAUCUGAAAUACCACCUCCCGCUCCAGCUGGUAAUAAGCUCGGCCGUCGCAAUCCCCCACCAGAGCCUCCACCUCCACCUGCCUCCCCAAUCAGCUAUUCCCCACCAGUGCCUCCACCUCCACCUGCCUUCCCCUCCAGCUAUCCCCCACCAAUGCCUCUUCCUCCACCUGCCUCACCCUCCAUCUACCCCCCCUAAUGCCUCUUCCUCCAGCUGCCUCGCCCUACAGCUAUCCCCCACCACCUGCCUCCCCCUCCAGCUAGUAAUCUGCACAACCCUAAUUCUCCACCAGUCAUGGUUCACUAGGCAUUUAUAUGAUGGUUGUAUCAUUCCAUGAGUUGAUGGGUUGAAUAAAUACGAAAGGACAAAGGCAUCACAUGCCAUUCCCC